GGCCAGAUAGCUCAGUUGGUUAGAGCAUUGUCUUGUAUACCAAAAGGUUGCAGGUUCGACUCCCAGUCUGAGCA
rnacentral:tRNA from 1 species